GACAAUCCACUACGAUGUCUCUUUAAUAUACAACACUUAGCCCAGAGGAUGACACCAACAGCAAUCUGUAGGAACUCAUCUCACCUGCGAGAGCGUGGGAGCACCCCAUCCGAAAGAGAGGUGGCGGCAUAGCCUCCACCUCUACAGCCGGUUGUCACGACUGCUUACAGUUACAGUGCAGAAGCUGGGGGGGAAAUUCAGCUUGACUCCAUAAUUCAUGGGUGACACUUUUGCUGUACUUAAAUUCUAAGGCUUGGCUGGCGUCCAAACGUGGGGGAGUGCCGAGGGGCAGAGAGGAGAUGUUUAAGCAAGAGCUUGCUCUCGCUGCCAGCAGAGAAGUGGAGGGAAUCCAUAAUAAUGAAAAAUGCAUUUUAUCCUCAGCUGCCAUUCCUGCUUUCCUGCUUUCUGAGAAACGUUGCGGCAAAGAUGCAAGUGUGUGUUUGCGAGACGAAAUAAGGUGGACGUCACAUUGAGCAUCCGCGCGCAAAGUGAGAGAUAACUACAUCAAAAAUAAUAAUAAU